rnacentral:rRNA from 2 species
UACGUAGGCAGCGAGCGUUGUUCGGAGUUACUGGGCGUAAAGGGUGUGUAGGCGGUUGUUUAAGUUUGGUGUGAAAUCUCCCGGCUCAACUGGGAGGGUGCGCCGAAUACUGAAUGACUAGAGUGCGGGAGAGGAGAGUGGAAUUCCUGGUGUAGCGGUGAAAUGCGUAGAUAUCAGGAGGAACACCGGUGGUGUAGACGGCUCUCUGGACCGUAACUGACGCUGAGACACGAAAGCGUGGGUAGCAAACAGG